AGUUUUGUCGCCGACGUCGCGCCGCGAGGCCGUUCGAGCUUGUGUUUGACGCCGGGGUAGCGCGUGGAGGCCGGGCGAGCAGGGAUUUUCACCGUUCUUGCUGUCACUCUGGUGCUCGGCGUUGUCGAGGUGGGUAUUUCAGUUUUUCUUGAUUUUUGGGCAAGUGUUUACUACUUCUACUUGGAUAGUUGUUGUUUGUUGAAAUCCACCGUUGACUGUUAGU
rnacentral:lncRNA from 1 species